GAUGAAGAACGUAGCGAAAUGCGAUAAGUAAUGUGAAUUGCAGAAUUCAGUGAAUCAUCGAAUCUUUGAACGCACAUUGCGCCCGCCAGUAUUCUGGCGGGCAUGCCUGUUCGAGCGUCAUUUCAACCAUCAAGCCCUGCUUGCGUUGGGGUCCUGCGGCUGCCCGCAGGCCCUGAAAACCAGUGGCGGGCUCGCUAGCCACACCGAGCGCAGUAAUACAUCUCGCUUUGGGCGUGCGGCGGGUUCUUGCCGUUAAACACCCCCUUUUUACCAAGGUUGACCUCGGAUCAGGUAGGAAUACCCGCUGAACUUAAGCAUAUCAAUAAGCGGAGGA
rnacentral:misc_RNA from 1 species